GACGAACGCUGGCGGCGUGCUUAACACAUGCAAGUCGAACGGAAAGGCUCCAGCUUGCUGGAGUACUCGAGUGGCGAACGGGUGAGUAACACGUGGGUAAUCUGCCCUGCACUCUGGGAUAAGCCUGGGAAACUGGGUCUAAUACUGGAUAUGACCUUUCUCCUUAUGGGGUUUGGUGGAAAGUUUUUCGGUGUAGGAUGAGCCCGCGGCCUAUCAGCUUGUUGGUGGGGUGAUGGCCUACCAAGGCGACGACGGGUAGCCGGCCUGAGAGGGUGAUCGGCCACAUUGGGACUGAGAUACGGCCCAGACUCCUUCGGGAGGCAGCAGUGGGGAAUAUUGCACAAUGGGCGGAAGCCUGAUGCAGCGACGCCGCGUGAGGGAUGACGGCCUUCGGGUUGUAAACCUCUUUCAGCAGGGACGAAGCGUAAGUGACGGUACCUGCAGAAGAAGCACCGGCUAACUAUGUG
rnacentral:rRNA from 1 species